GACGUAGGAGGCGAGCGUUAUCCGGAUUCACUGGCCGUAAAGCGCAUGUAGGCGGUUUGUUAAGUCCGUUGUUAAAGCCCCUGGCUCAACUGGGGGAGGUCAAUGGAGACUAGCAGACUUGAGGGCAACAGAGGCACAUGGAACUCCCGGUGUAGCGGUGGAAUGCGCAGAUAUCAGGAGGAACACCGGUGGCGAAGGCGGAUCUCUGGGCCUUACCUGACGCUCAGGUGCGAAAGCUAGGGGAGCGAACAGG
rnacentral:rRNA from 1 species